UACGUAGGGUGCAAGCGUUAUCCGGAAUUAUUGGGCGUAAAGAGCUCGUAGGCGGUUUGUCACGUCUGCUGUGAAAACUGGAGGCUCAACCUCCAGCCUGCAGUGGGUACGGGCAGACUAGAGUGCGGUAGGGGAGAUUGGAAUUCCUGGUGUAGCGGUGGAAUGCGCAGAUAUCUGGAGGAACACCGAUGGCGAAGGCAGGUCUCUGGGCCGCAACUGACGCUGAGGAGCGAAAGCAUGGGGAGCGAACAGG
rnacentral:rRNA from 1 species